CCUACGGGUGGCUGCAGUGGGGAAUUUUGGACAAUGGGCGCAAGCCUGAUCCAGCAAUGCCGCGUGCAGGAUGAAGGCCUUCGGGUUGUAAACUGCUUUUGUACGGAGCGAAACGGCUCUUUCUAAUAAAGAGAGCUAAUGACGGUACCGUAAGAAUAAGCACCGGCUAACUACGUGCCAGCAGCCGCGGUAAUACGUAGGGUGCGAGCGUUAAUCGGAAUUGCUCAGCGUAUUGCAUACGCCAGAGGUGAAAUCCCCGGGCUCAACCUGGGCACUGCAUUUGUGACUGUAUAGCUAGAGUACGGUAGAGGGGGAUGGAAUUCCGCGUGUAGCAGUGAAAUGCGUAGAUAUGCGGAGGAACACCGAUGGCGAAGGCAAUCCCCUGGACCUGUACUGACGCUCAUGCACGAAAGCGUGGGGAGCAAACAGGAUUAGAUACCCUGGUAGUC
rnacentral:rRNA from 1 species